AACUUUCAACAACGGAUCUCUUGGCUCUUGCAUCGAUGAAGAACGCAGCGAAAUGCGAUAAGUAAUGUGAAUUGCAGAAUUCAGUGAAUCAUCGAAUCUUUGAACGCACCUUGCGCCUUUUGGUAUUCCGAAAGGCAUGCCUGUUUGAGUGUCAU
rnacentral:rRNA from 2 species